rnacentral:rRNA from 1 species
UACGAAGGGGGCUAGCGUUGCUCGGAAUCACUGGGCGUAAAGGGUGCGUAGGCGGGUCCUUAAGUCAGGGGUGAAAUCCUGGAGCUCAACUCCAGAACUGCCUUUGAUACUGAGGAUCUUGAGUUCGGGAGAGGUGAGUGGAACUGCGAGUGUAGAGGUGAAAUUCGUAGAUAUUCGCAAGAACACCAGUGGCGAAGGCGGCUCACUGGCCCGAUACUGACGCUGAGGUGCGAAAGCGUAGGGAGCAAACAGG